GACGUAGGGCGCGAGCGUUGUCCGGAUUUAUUGGGCGUAAAGAGCUCGUAGGCGGCUUGUCGCGUCGUCCGUGAAAACUUGGGGCUCAACCCCAAGCUUGCGGUCGAUACGGGCAGGCUAGAGUUCGGUAGGGGAGACUGGAAUUCCUGGUGUAGCGGUGAAAUGCGCAGAUAUCAGGAGGAACACCAAUAGCGAAGGCAGCUCGCUGGGACGUUACUGACACUGAGGCGCGAAAGCGUGGGGAGCGAACAGG
rnacentral:rRNA from 1 species